GAUGCUUCAAGGAUGGAAAGGAAGAGUCAUCUAUGCUUUUUCUUGCUGGA
rnacentral:sRNA from 1 species